rnacentral:rRNA from 1 species
AUUGAACGCUGGCGGCAGGCCUAACACAUGCAAGUCGAACGCGUGGCGGACGGGUGGGUGAUGUCUGGGAAACUGCCUGAUGGAGGGGGACAACUACUAGAAACGGUAGCUAAUACCGCAUAACGUCGGAUGUGCCCAUCUUGGAUUAGCUAGUAGGUGGGGGAAAGGCUCACCAAGGAGAAGAGCCCUAGCUGGUCUGAGAGGAUGACCAGCCACACUGGAACUGAGACACGGUCCAGACUCCUACGGGAGGCAGCCGUGGGGAAUAUUGCACAAUGGGCGCAAGCCUGAUGCAGCCAUGCCGCGUGUAUGAAGAAGGCCUUCGGGUUGUAAAGUACUUUCAGCGGGGAGGCGUUACCCGCAGAAGAAGCACCGGCUAACUCCGUGCCAGCAGCCGCGGUAAUAC